GUUUUAAUAGGAUAUUCAAAAUCUUAAGACCUUCAAAGUCUUAGAAAGUUAAUUACUUUAAAUCA
rnacentral:tRNA from 1 species